rnacentral:rRNA from 1 species
UUUGCCUACGGGAGGCAGCAGUGAGGAAUAUUGGUCAAUGGGCGGAAGCCUGAACCAGCCAAGUCGCGUGAGGGAUUAAGGCCCUAUGGGUCGUAAACCUCUUUUGUCAGGGAGCAAGGUCGUCCACGUGUGGGCGUAUGGAGAGUACCUGAAGAAAAAGCAUCGGCUAACUCCGUGCCAGCAGCCGCGGUAAUACGGAGGAUGCGAGCGUUAUCCGGAUUUAUUGGGUUUAAAGGGUGCGUAGGCGGGACCUUAAGUCAGCGUUAAAAUUUCGGUGCUCAACGCCUU